rnacentral:rRNA from 1 species
GACGAACGCUGGCGGCGUGCCUAAUACAUGCAAGUAGAACGCAGUUGCGAACGGGUGAGUAACGCGUCGGUAACUGCCUCAUAGCGGGGGAUAACUAUUGGAAACGGUAGCUAAUACCGCAUACUGUGAGAUGGACCUGCGUUGUAUUAGCUAGGUGGUGAGGUAAAGGCUCACCAAGGCGCCGAGACAUAGCCGACCGGUGAGGGUGGACCGCCCACCCUGGACUGAGGAAAGGCUCAGACUUCCACGGGAUGGAGCAGGUGGGAAUCUUCGGAAAUGGACGGAAGUCUGAAUGAGCACAGCCGGGUGAGAGAAGGAGGUUUUCGGAUCGUAAAGCUCUGUUGAGAGAGGAGCGGUAACUAACCAGAAAGGGACGGCUAACUACGUGCCAGCAGCCGCGGUAAUAC